UUCAACAACAUAAACACGCGACUCUUGACACAUGCUUGAAAAUCUGGCGCUACCCGUAUUCUUCCGAGUGGCUGAAAACUUUCUUAUUAAUAUUACGUCAGUAUCAGUACUACAAGUUUGUUUUAAUUAAAGUGUGUUUUUGGUCCAACGUAAUAACACCAAAAUGGAUGAGAAGCAGGGACCAACUUCUGAUGAUGUCCCAACUGGGGAGGUAACGUCAACCACAGUUACAGAGGGUGAUGUUGUCAAGAUGCCAACAGAUGUGGCCAUCACUUUGGAUGCUAUUCCCAAUGAAGAUGAGGAGGACAAAUCCAAAGGUCUUGACCCACAAGAUAACCAUUGCGCCAGCUCCUCCGACGUUCCGGUGACUGGGGCUGCCAUAACGGAUCCUUAUCACUAUCUGACGCAACAGCACUUCACCUCAGAGAUCUUCAAGAUUGAGAUCCAAAACCUCCCAAGACAAUUUGGAUUUGCGCUGCCAAGAAGAUAAGGAGGAGGCAUUGAAAGUACUCAACGGACACAAAUGGAAAGGACAAGUGCUCAAAGCCAAGGUUCACAUUCCCGCAGUGACUCUCCGUAGCUUGCCAAGCCAGUUGAGGACCCGGACACUAAGAGCCUCGCUCUGAAGAGAAGCCAAGAGGAAUCUGAUGGAAAUACCCAAGAAACUAAGAGGAGGAAGGAGGAGGACAGCUGACCAGUAGAAGAGAGGUUAAACAACACGGUGACUCCACUGUGGAACCAGCCAUAUGAGGACCAGCUAUCCACCAAACAGACCAACACCAGAGAGUUUCUGAGGGAUUUAUCCAAGAUGCUGCAACAGAACAUUGGGGAGAUGUCUCCGUGGCUGAAGCAACAAAGAUAACACUGUUGGUUUCCAGCUUGGCGCUUACAAAGGUCUUGACCCACAAGAUAACCAUUCCACCAGCACCUCUGACGUACCGGUGAC